ensembl:lncRNA
AAUCACCUCCCUCUCCCUGCUGGCCACCCCUUUUUUUAAUGCAGCCCCUCCUUCCAUUAAGACCUAACCAAUACUAAAGUGACUAUUAAUUAGUUAGAAAGAACCUAUCCCUCCCCUUAAGGUGAUUUUUCUUAAAGGAGUAAAGUUAUAUUGGAAACAAAUGUUGCAAGGAAGAUUUUAUUCCCUUGUAACCAAAGCAUUAACUCUCCCUGAAAAAACAAGAUAUGUCAUUAAAAAAGCCCAAAGUAAUGUUUUGCUAAAACAGUGAAGAAUAGCAUGAAAACAUGUGCCAGAUGAUGUCUAUUACAAGAACACACUGAAGAUUUAACUCUGUCUUACUCCACCUAUUCAGAAUGUAUUCAUCAAACAGCAUGGCCUUAAUGGGAUCAUGGCACUUCACUUCAAAACCUGCUUAAUCAAGGAAAGUCCAGAAAAAGAGCGUUUCUGGGUUAUUCUUUACAGUUCUCUGAGAAUAUUCUUUAGGGGGAAAAAAAAAAGACAAAAAAGAAGCAUGAAACUAAUAGUCUUGAUGGGGAAUUGUACAAAUCACAUCCCCCCUUACGUGUUUUGAACUUCAUUCUACUCUAUGCUCUCACAUCUCAGACAGCUAUCAGCCAUCUAUGUAUUUAUUUACCCUGCCAGAAUUUAAUAUAACUUAAGUUUCCAUAAAGAGAAAUGCAGUCAGUCCUUCUCUGCACUGGAAGGAUUUGCCAGAGGAGAUAAAUGUCUUCAUGUGUUAUUCAACCUUUUUUUUCAGACUGUCACAAUAUUCAUCAGCAUACUGCAUUUGCACCUUUUGCUGCACAAGUUUUGUUGGUUUCAUUUACAUUUAAUAGAAAGGGUUGGAAAAUAAACGUGUAAGAAAAGAAAGUAACAUGCUUAGAACAUCAAGCAAGAGACUAUUUGCUUCUGCUCAGACUUUGUUUUUACUGUCCUCUGUGUGGGAGUGAGAAAAAAAGGAAUAAAUUUUAUUUAGUUAAUCUGUAUGUCAUGUUAUAUGUCAUGUUAGUAGUAUUUAGUGAUGUUGAGCUACCGGGGAGGAUAUCAUUAAUUUUAUGUGAUUUUGAGGUGAUAUUAUACUAUGAACUAUGUCUUUUCUGGCUUUGAUCUGCAUCUUCAGACUAUAAGGCCCUUCUCCCUAACCUUUAGAGUAAGCUCUCCAUUUUCAAAAUAUGCUGCAAUCACUAAAUCAUACUCUAGAAAUCCUGGUCUUCAAUUGCCUUCUCCCACUUUAAAUGCAAAAUUGUCAAGCUAUUCUACCAAAAUUGUCUUGCAUCAAUGUCAAAAUUAUACUUGUAAAUAAUAACUGUUUAUCAUCAAGCACCUACUUCUAUUUUUUUGAUGACUAAAUCAUUACAAAUAAAAAUAGUAGAAA